ACGGGAGGCAGCAGUGGGGGAUAUUGCACAAUGGGGGAAACCCUGAUGCAGCGACGCCGCGUGAGUGAAGAAGUAUUUCGGUAUGUAAAGCUCUAUCAGCAGGAAAGAUAAUGACGGUACCUGACUAAGAAGCACCGGCUAAAUACGUGCCAGCAGCCGCGGUAAUACGUAGGGGGCAAGCGUUAUCCGGAUUUACUGGGUGUAAAGGGAGCGUAGACGGUCUUGCAAGUCUGAUGUGAAAGGCAGGGGCUCAACUCCUGGACUGCAUUGGAAACUGUGAGUCUUGAGUGUCGGAGAGGUAAGCGGAAUUCCUAGUGUAGCGGUGAAAUGCGUAGAUAUUAGGAGGAACACCAGUGGCGAAGGCGGCUUACUGGACUGUAACUGACGUUGAGGCUCGAAAGCGUGGGGAGCAAACAGGAUUAGAUACCCGGUA
rnacentral:rRNA from 1 species